rnacentral:lncRNA from 1 species
AGAAUUCAGGCCAAGAACAGUCAGGAAACUGUCACCAUCGGUGUUGCUGGCGCAGGAUACAGGUAAAUGUUGAGACAUCCCAUAAUGAUUGUAUUUACCUAAGAAGAAAAAUAGAUUUCCUGAAAUCCCAGCACUUGCUGAUAUCAAAGCUGCAUUAAUUCUACACACAGAUACUAUUUUAAAUAUGGAAACUUCUGCAAAACCAGUCCCUGUCUUGAACUAUCUGGUGACUCGUGAGGACGUGGGUGGAGUACACCAAUGAUCAUGUGCAGAAGAGACGUGAGUAGAGAAAGCAAAACUGGAUACUUCAAGAACUAGGCAAAGCUGUAACUAGGCACACUUGAUGAGGAAGGGCUUUUUCUUAGAGAGUGAGCUGGAAUGGAAUGGUUAGAACACAGUAAGGUUGCAAGGGUGGAAGCAACUAUGGGAGAUGGAGACUGCUGGACACUGUAGAAGAAGAUUCAUUGCUGUGAUCCAGGCUCUAGGCCAUUGACAUUGUGUGGUCUCGGGGGGGGGGGGUAAAGUGUAAGCUAGUUCUACAGAGAAAGACCCAGUCUUAACAACAAGGCAUAGAGUUUGCAUUGUAAGCAAGUGGGCAUUUGCGGAGGAACAAGAUGACAGAGUUCCAUUUUAACUAUCACCAGGAAGUGGGUGGAGACCAUACUGAAGGUUGAGGGUGUGAGGCAGGGGAGGUUUAUUAACAGAAGAAAGGAUACUCAUGGGGCUGAUGUUGCUAUAGUGGAAGUUAUUGUUAGAGUUGUGAGUUAAAGAGAGAA